rnacentral:rRNA from 1 species
AUUGAACGCUGGCGGCAGGCUUAACACAUGCAAGUCGAGCGGAGAUGAGGUGCUUGCACCUUAUCUUAGCGGCGGACGGGAGAGUAAUGCUUAGGAAUCUGCCAUUUAGUGGGGGACAACAUUCCGAAAGGAAUGCUAAUACCGCAUACGUCCUACGGGAGAAAGCAGGGGAUCUUCGGACCUUGCGCUAAAUGAUGAGCCUAAGUCGGAUUAGCUAGUUGGUGGGGUAAAGGCCUACCAAGGCGACGAUCUGUAGCGGGUCUGAGAGGAUGAUCCGCCACACUGGGACUGAGACACGGCCCAGACUCCUACGGGAGGCAGCAGUGGGGAAUAUUGGACAAUGGGCGGAAGCCUGAUCCAGCCAUGCCGCGUGUGUGAAGAAGGCCUUUUGGUUGUAAAGCACUUUAAGCGAGGAGGAGGCUACCUGGAUUAAUACUCUGGGAUAGUGGACGUUACUCGCAGAAUAAGCACCGGCUAACUCUGUGCCAGCAGCCGCAGUAA